rnacentral:rRNA from 1 species
CUACGUGCCAGCAGCCGCGGUAAUACGGAAGGUCCAGGCGUUAUCCGGAUUUAUUGGGUUUAAAGGGAGUGUAGGCGGUUUGUUAAGCGUGUUGUGAAAUUUAGGUGCUCAACAUUUAACUUGCAGCGCGAACUGUCAGACUUGAGUACACGCAACGUAUGCGGAAUUCAUGGUGUAGCGGUGAAAUGCUUAGAUAUCAUGAAGAACUCCGAUUGCGAAGGCAGCAUACGGGAGUGUAACUGACGCUUAAGCUCGAAGGUGCGGGUAUCGAACAGGAUUAGAUACCCUGGUAGUCCGCACAGUAAACGAUGGAUGCCCGCUGUUAGCGCCUGGCGUUAGCGGCUAAGCGAAAGCAUUAAGCAUCCCACCUGGGGAGUACGCUGGCAACGGUGAAACUCAAAGGAAUUGACGGGGGCCCGCACAAGCGGAGGAACAUGUGGUUUAAUUCGAUGAUACGCGAGGAACCUUACCCGGGCUUGAAUUGCAGAGGAAUUAUUUAGAGAUA